rnacentral:lncRNA from 1 species
UCGCCAUUCUCAGAACCGUCGGCCACAGUUUCAGAAACCUCGGAAGAAUUUUCCGAGCCAAGGGUCGUUUCCACCUCUUGUUGCAAUUCAGGCAACGGCUCCUCCAACUUCUUGACCAUGACUUUGUCUUCCUCAUUCGUCACUGUCAUUUCAUUUCCAUCAGCUGAUGAUGGAUUGAUCGGUAACAUAGCCUCAGGCGCUUCAAUUUUCUCUGGAAUGGUUGUCGAGUCCGCUUCACACACGCCUGUUUCAGACGCUGGCUCAGGAUCCGUCGCUAAGGUUUCAGACAACCCAGUUACUUCUUCUGCUUCAGCCACC